rnacentral:sRNA from 1 species
GCUGGGUGCAGUGGCAUGCACCUGUAAUCCUAAUGACUUGGGAGGCUGAGGCAGAAGGAUUGCGAGUUCAAAGCCAGCCUUAGCAACUUAGCAAGGCCCUAAGCAACUCAGUGUGACCCUGUCUCCA